CCACUGGCGGAUGCAUCCAGACUGGACUUGUCCAGCUGGUUCACCGCUGGAUACAGCGGGGGGGACAUAUAUCACAGCGUGUCCUAUGCCCGGCCCCGUUGGAUCUUCUGGUGCCUACUCCUGCUUUCUGCAGGGGUAGGCAUCUUUUUGCUCCCCAACCGGUAGGUGGGGAGCUUA
rfam:Hepacivirus hominis isolate 365518 polyprotein gene, complete cds